UCCUCUCUUCUUCCAAGUCUAAAUUUGCCGUCGCAGUGCCGGUGUGUGUAGGAGCAGCUAAUGGCAACUCCCGGUUCAGCAUGUCUGCCGAGUGGAUGCCGGGCCAGCCCCGCCCUCCUUACCUUGACGGUUCUGCCCCCGGGUGACAAUUUACUCCCUACCGUCCAUUUUAGUUGUCGUGGAAAAUGUAUUUUAUACAUAAUUAGUGUAUAUUUUUUUGUAUAUUCGGCUAGGGGCUGUAACUAUUUUUGGCUGAACGGUCAAAUAUGUUUUUUAAUUGUAAAAUGGAUGGUGACUUUUUUUUUUGUGAAUACAGAGAUUUUGGAUUCGAUCCACUUGGUCUAGGAGAAGUACCAGCGAACUUGGAGAGAUACAAGGAGUCUGAACUCAUUCACUGUAGAUGGGCUAUGCUUGCUGUGGUAAGCUAAGCUCCUAUUUACUUUUUUAUUUAAGUACAAAUUUUGUUUCAAAACAUGAGACUUUUAAGAAUAUAAUUAGUACAGAUAAUCUUAGCCAAGACAUAGAGACUCUUGUUAUUAAAGAAGGGAAAUGGGAAAGGAAAGUUACAGUUAGAAUAAAGUAAAAGUUUUUAGAAUUUGUGAUUCUAAACAAGUCAAAAAGAGUCCAGAAUAUUUGUGUGAUUAUAAAAGCUUCUCAUUAAGGUUAGUAUUGAAAGUUUCAGCUAAAUUGUUUCCAAAUUUAAAAAGGGAAUCAUUCUUUUUGGAAUGGACCAAAAAGGAAAUAGGCAGAGGCGGAUCUAGGAUUUAAAGGUAGCGGGUGCCAAAAUUUUUUUUAAUGUACACCUUAUAAUAACUACUAAUAUAUAGUUUGUUCAGAAUGUUUGUCCGGUUCAUUUUUUUAGUUUAUUUGGGCAAUUUAAUAAGCACUUUAUUUGCAAAUAUAAAAAUUAUAUCAAUUUUUCAGACCCUACUUAUGGAAUUUCAUUGGGUAUAUAUCUUAUUAUUUUCAUAUGAAAAUUACAUUUCAGACAUUAAGAAGCAAAUAUAAUUAACAUUUUAAAGAAGGAAUCACACUUUUAUUAUUAAUAAUACAAGUAAAAUCAGUAUUUUCACUAGGGAACUAUAUUUUUUUGUACGCUAAAAAUAAAUUUGCACAAGUAAAAUAAAAUCUUUAAUAAGGGAACUCCACUGAUCAGAAUAAGGAAAAAAAAAUCUUCAAUAGAUAAAUUAUACCCCAUAAGUAAAUGCGAAUUAGAUAAACUACAAGAUCACAAAACUUAAAAUCAUAAAUAUAAUGCUUGCAAAAUAUUCAUCAUAAUUUAUUACUAAAGAGAUUUAAAUUAUAUUUAACAUCAUAGAAUAACACAAAUUUUCAUGUUAUAAUAAAAAAAUAAAUUAUAAAUUAAUUUUGAUCUCAAUCUAAAUAUCAAAACCCAAGUUUUUUUUUAUUUUGAAAUAAAAAAACUAAAAUAUUUGAGAAUAAGAGAAAUGUUUAUAUGAUAUAACUUUAAAUUUUGGAGGCACCUUUUUGAGUGUUCUUGCUAAAUAUCACAGAUAAAGUAAUAGAAUAGAGGGGAAAACAAUAAAAAUAAUAAACGACAAAUAGAAAAUUGGGAGGUAGCCAAAAAGGAAAAUGACUGGGAUAAAAGAAAUAAAAAGCACAACGAAAAAGGAAAGUUAGACAAGGUUCAAGAUAAAUUCGAACUUGAAUUUUACGCACAAGAAAAGCUUUCAAAAAGGUCUACCAGUCAUGACACCUUUGUCUAGUUUGCGGAUGAGGGUGGCAGGAUCAUAUAUUUAACCUAAUUUAAUUUUUUUUAUACAUAAAUAUAUAAUAAUUUUACCAACCGAGCGGGUGCCACCCCACCCCACCCAUAAGGGUAGAUCCGUCCCUGAAAAUAGGUUCACAUAAACUGAAUGGAGGGAGUAAUAGAUAAUUAAUUUGAUUUUCAAAGAAUUAUUAAAUUAAUCUUUGAUGAUGAGUCGACAUUAAUCUAGUCAACUCCCUAGGGUCAUUAAUGACUCAGGGUUUUCAAAGCAAUGGCUAGGGAGUUUACAAGACAUUAAUUUGAUUUACUCAUUUUUUUGUAGAGCAAAUCUUUUUUAUUGUGAUUGAGUUAUAGUAAAAUAAUAUGAUCACUAACUAGAAAUAUUCCAAGUUCAACAUUUGAAAUGUUUGGGAAGAAUCCGGUAAUGUUUUCCGAUCCUUUUAAUUAACAAGUGAAUUACUAACAUACAUGUUAUCGUCUUUGCAGCCUGGAAUCCUAGUACCAGAAGCAUUGGGCCUGGGCAACUGGGUAAAGGCCCAAGAAUGGGCUGCCAUUCCCGGAGGGCAAGCUACAUAUUUGGGUCAACCCGUCCCAUGGGGUACUCUUCCCACUAUUUUGGCCAUUG
rnacentral:lncRNA from 1 species